rnacentral:lncRNA from 1 species
UGGUAGCAGAAUCUUGGGAGGUUUCAAUUUAGCAAUCCUGAUGGUGAUGAUGCUAUUGAGCACCAACCGACACUGUGCGGCCGACGCGGUUAAGAAGAAUAAGAGCAUCAGCAGCCGCUGGUGCGAUGAUUCUUCAAAUAAGGAGUGCCUGCAGCUUUCUGACGACAUAGAAACGAUGGAGUUGACGAUGGAUUCAGAAGCAAGCAAAAUGGUAUUUGAAGCAAGUGCAGCAAUCAACUUCACCAACAGUAAAAAUCCAACUACCAGAGCCCUUGAACGUUCUCAAGCUGCCUGCGAGCGUAAUACUGGCAAGUCUUGCGAACCUGAUAGUAAUCCAGGCACAAAGGUACCUCCAAAUUGUUCACUAUACAGCAAAGAUUGCCACUGAUUUACUACUUUUUCUUGCUAUGCUGGUAUAUUGUGUUUCAAUUUAUCCAGAUAUAUACAUAUAUAUGAAUAAGGAUGAUGGAGAAAUAUCUCUUUCAAUAUAUGCAUAAAUAUUUCUGGUUUCGUUAAUGUCUUUUCAUAAUUUGUAGUAUAUGUGACAAGCAGGAGUACUCUCAUCAAAUUCUAAUGUAUAGGCCUUUGGGAACAAUGCACUGUAUAUUUUCUUCCUAUGCUAUAAGUUUCACCUUCGUAGAUUGUUUUGUAAUUUACUUUACCUAUUAACAAGAGGCAACACAUGGUUUGUCAGACCUACGAGGGUCAAAAAUGACAUUCUACAGCCUAAGAUUGAAGAAUAAUGCGACAACCUCCAAUAGCUUGAGUAUUAUUCUUGCUUAUCCUACACACUUCUCAAUAAAACAAACCCAGAACUGCAAAUCCUAACUAUACUAUCUCACCAUUUCACACUUCUGUUUAAAUAAAUAAAUAUUAAGAUAUCUUCAACUUUUAAUUUUUAAAUUUAAAUUAUUAAAAUUUAUUUAUAAUGAAUUAUUAGUAUUUAUUUACAAGUUUUUCAUAUUUUUUAUUUAAUUUAAUGAUGAUAGGUCAUGUUAUUAUUCACUUAUAAUCAAUGGUGAAGUCAAGAGGCUAGUAAGAGCCCUGACUCCUUUAAAAUGAAAAAAUAUUUAUUUAAACCUCUUUAUAAUUUAUUGAAAUUUUAAUUAAUAAUUGUAAAAUUACAUUUUAAUCCCUAAAAUGAUAAAAAUUUAAUUUAAUUUUUUAAAAAUUAUAAAGAUAUAAGUCAUUAAAAUUGUAAAAAUGUACAAUUUAAUUCCAACCUCCUAAAAAAAUAUUUGACUUCGCCACUGUUUAUAAUGCAUUGAACUUAUGUAUCAAAUAUCACUCCUUAUUUUUUAUACAAUAUCAAAAUCAUACAACACACAAGAGUGAACAUGAUCACAUAAACAAAAAGACGUUCCAGAUCGAUUUUUAUUAUUAUUAGAAAAAAAAACCUAUUAUGGCAAUGUAUAAAUAUUGAUGAUUAAUUUUUUAAGAAUGUUAUUGCAUAAAAUUAUCAUCUUGGAUUUUUUUUUGGUUGAAAAGCAAAAUUGAAAAAUAAGAUCAAAUUACAUAAUGUGUAAACGUUGAAAGUUAAUUUUUUUAGAAUCAAGAUUAAAUUGACACAAUGAAUAAAUGUUAAGUAUAAAGUUGAUAUUAUGAAAAUUUUAAAAGUUAUCACAUCAUCUUUUUGUUAGCCAUUUAUUGAAAGGUGACAAAAAUAAAAAAAAUUAAAAAAUUAAAAAAUUAUUUUAUAACUUUUAGUAAAAAAAAAACCAAUAAAAAAAAAGAGAGAGAGAGAGCCUAAUUUGUAGCAAAAAGAAGUCUGAUGACACUAAAUGAGUUUUGGCAUCAAUUUGAAUUACAAUGCAUUUACUAUUAGUGUGUUCUAUAAAGAAUGAUUGUACUUAGAAUUAGGUUACCACACUUACUAUAUACAUUUUCUUUUGCUAGCUGGCACUCUCAACUUUUGUUCCAACGAAAUUAAAACCUUUGCUCUUUGCCCAUGUGCACUUUGAUAAGGACAAUCUCUAUACUCAGAUUUAACUAAUUUAUUUUAUUUUUGAGAAACUAAAUUUUCUUAACAUAUUGCUUUAAAAUCUUGAUUUAUUAAUUAAGUGCUUGGUUUGGAAAAAAUUAAUUAAGUUGGUGCAAUAAUAAGAAAGAUUACAUUUUUACUUAAAAUUUUGUUACGCAAUUCUAAAAGAAAGCAAAGUCAGAAAGUGUAGAUUAUUUUUAACUUGGCCCUGCUUAGCUGCUCAGUGGAUCAGAAUUGGUUGUAUAUAUAUAUAUAUGAACUUCAAACGCUGAGAAUUUUUAUGAUUAGAGAUUUCUGGGAAAUAUGGGAGACUGUAGGAGAAUUUUGGGAGGUUUCAAUUUAGCAAUCCUGAUGGUGAUGCUGCUAUUGAGCACCGACCGACACUGUCUAAGAAGAACAAGAACAUCGGCAGCCGGUGGUGCGGUGGUUCUUUAAAUAAGGAGGAGUACCUGCAGCUUUCAGACGACAUGGAGACGAUGGAGUUGUUGAUGGAUUCAGAAGUGAGCAAAAUGGUAUUUGAAGCAAGUGCAGCAAUCAACUUCGCCGGCAGUAAACGUCCAACUACCAGAGCCCUUGUCCGUUCUCAAGCUGCCUGCGA